rnacentral:rRNA from 1 species
UACGUAGGGGCCAAGCGUUGUCCGGAUUCAUUGGGCGUAAAGAGCUCGUAGGCGGUUCAGUUAGUCGGGUGUGAAAUCUCCGGGCUCAACCCGGAGGGGCCACCCGAUACUGCUGUGACUUGAGUCCGGUAGGGGAGUGGGGAAUUCCUGGUGUAGCGGUGGAAUGCGCAGAUAUCAGGAGGAACACCGGUGGCGAAGGCGGGUCUCUGGGCAGUAACUGACGCUGAGGAGCGAAAGCGUGGGGAGCAAACAGG